rnacentral:ncRNA from 1 species
UUAUGUGAGAGUUUGAUCCUAGCUCAGGAUGAACGCUGGCGGCGUGGAUAAGGCAUGCAAGUCGAAUGAGUGCAUCACACUGCGUGUGAUGCAGAAUUAAGAAGAAAGAAUUAAGAUUGUGGAAAAAUCGUGUUGCGAUUUUUCCGCCUGUGAUUCCUAAUUCCUGAUUCUGUACACUCGCGCGUAGUGCGAUGUACUCAUGGCGAACGAGGUAGUAAUACGCAGGUACGCACCCCUAAGUCGGGCAUAAUUAGCCGAAAGGUUAGAUAAUUCUCGAUAGUCUCUUCGGAGUAAAUCCGUCAAUUGACGGAGCUUAGGGAGCGGCCUGCGGGCUAUCAGCUAGUUGGUAGGGUAACGGCCUACCAAGGCUAUGACGGCUAGGGGAGCUGAGAGGCUGACCCCCACCGAUGGAACUGCGACACGGUCCAUACACCUACGGGUGGCUGCAGUCGAGAAUCUUCCGCAAUGGGCGAAAGCCUGACGGAGCGACGCCGCGUGGUUGAUGAAGUCCUUAGGGAUGUAAAAACCUUUUAUGAGGGAGGAAGUUUAUUGACGUUACCUCAAGAAUAAGGGGUUGCUAAACUCGUGCCAGCAGCAGCGGUAAUACGAGUGCCCCAAGCGUUAUCCGGAAUCACUGGGCGUAAAGCGUGUGUAGGUGGUCUUGUUAGUCUUCUGUUAAAUUCUUCGGCUUAACCGGGGGCAUGCAGAGGAAACGGCAAGACUUGAGGGUACGAGGGGUGUACGGAACUCAUGGAGUAGGGGUGAAAUCCGUUGAUAUCAUGGGGAACACCGAAAGCGAAGGCAGUACACUGGCGUAUUCCUGACACUCAAACACGAAAGCGUGGGUAGCGAAUGGGAUUAGAUACCCCAGUAGUCCACGCCCUAAACGAUGAUCGCUAGCUUUUCGGAGUAUCGACCCUCUGAGAGGCGAAGCUAACGCGUUAAGCGAUCCGCCUGGGUA